AUACAUUUCUCAGCUUUUUGUCAAGAUAAAGUGUAGUACAAUUUAAUAUUUAGUAUGUGAAUCAUAUGUCCACUUUUAUAUUAAAUUUAUUUUAUGGAAAGGGUCUACACAUUGGCAUGCCACUGCGUCCUCGUGUGUCAUCAAGCUAUUGUACUGCUGGUAUGGCCUGACUCACCCCAA
rnacentral:snRNA from 1 species